AUUGAACGCUGGCGGCAGGCCUAACACAUGCAAGUCGAACGGUAACAGGAAGAAGCUUGCUUCUUUGCUGACGAGUGGCGGACGGGUGAGUAAUGUCUGGGAAACUGCCUGAUGGAGGGGGAUAACUACUGGAAACGGUAGCUAAUACCGCAUAACGUCGCAAGACCAAGGAGGGGGACCUUCGGGCCUCUUGCCAUCGGAUGUGCCCAGAUGGGAUUAGCUAGUAGGUGGGGUAACGGCUCACCUAGGCGACGAUCCCUAGCUGGUCUGAGAGGAUGACCAGCCACACUGGAACUGAGACACGGUCCAGACUCCUACGGGAGGCAGCAGUGGGGAAUAUUGCACAAUGGGCGCAAGCCUGAUGCAGCCAUGCCGCGUGUAUGAAGAAGGCCUUCGGGUUGUAAAGUACUUUCAGCGGGGAGGAAGGGAGUAAAGUUAAUACCUUUGCUCAUUGACGUUACCCGCAGAAGAAGCACCGGCUAACUCCGUG
rnacentral:rRNA from 1 species